GACAGAGGGUGCAAACGUUGCUCGGAAUCACUGGGCGUAAAGGGCGCGUAGGCGGGAAUGUAAGUCGGGCGUGAAAUCCCCAGGCUCAACCUGGGAACUGCACUCGAAACUGCGUUUCUUGAGUAUCGGAGAGGAAAGCGGAAUUCCUGGUGUAGAGGUGAAAUUCGUAGAUAUCAGGAGGAACACCAGUGGCGAAGGGCGGCUUUCUGGACGGUAACUGACGCGUGA
rnacentral:rRNA from 1 species